GCAAGUCGAACGAGAACUAUCGGAUCUUCGGAACUGAGAAAUUCUAGUGGCGAACGGGUGAGUAACGCGUUGGUGACCUGCCCCGAAGAGGGGGAUAACGGUUCGAAAGAACCGCUAAUACCCCAUGAGCUCACGAGCGUUAGAGGUCUUGUGAGGAAAGGAGUAAUCCGGUUCGAGAGGAGCCUGCGUCCCAUCAGCUAGUUGGUAGGGUAAAAGCCUACCAAGGCGAUGACGGGUAGGGGACCUGAGAGGGGGACC
rnacentral:rRNA from 1 species